AUUGAACGCUGGCGGCAUGCUUUACACAUGCAAGUCGAACGGUAACAGGCCGCAAGGUGCUGACGAGUGGCGAACGGGUGAGUAAUGCAUCGGAACGUGCCCAGUCGUGGGGGAUAACUACUCGAAAGAGUAGCUAAUACCGCAUACGAUCUAUGGAUGAAAGCGGGGGACCGUAAGGCCUCGCGCGAUUGGAGCGGCCGAUGUCAGAUUAGGUAGUUGGUGGGGUAAAGGCUCACCAAGCCAACGAUCUGUAGCUGGUCUGAGAGGACGACCAGCCACACUGGGACUGAGACACGGCCCAGACUCCUUCGGGAGGCAGCAGUGGGGAAUUUUGGACAAUGGGCGCAAGCCUGAUCCAGCAAUGCCGCGUGCAGGAAGAAGGCCUUCGGGUUGUAAACUGCUUUUGUACGGAACGAAACGGCUCUGGUUAAUACCCGGGGCUAAUGACGGUACCGUAAGAAUAAGCACCGGCUAACUACGUG
rnacentral:rRNA from 1 species